CAUGUUUUGGAUAUGCCGCUAUCACUUUUAGGUACCCCUCCUAUCAAAUUUUGAUAUCCCGCCAUCAAUUUUGGUGUCCAGCACUAUGAAAUUUUGAUAUCCCGCCAUUUGACCUGUUAUACGAUUUUAAAGCUACCCUCUACGACCAGGCAAAGAUUUGAAAAUCACCGAUUGAAGACCCUAAUACUCCGAAACAACAUAAUGGAAACUUCACCAAUCAAAGACCCUAAUACUCUGAAACAACGUAAUCAAAACUUUACUGCCGCUAUAUUCACCAGAGCCACACUAUUGAGGGAUUCAUUAUUGGUUUUUUCCUAUCUCUUCGUCUAUAAAUCUAAAAAGUAGUCAGUGAUGAUUAUGGAUCUGAGUUUGUUGUUCUAACACCUGCGGUUAUUUUGGGGCUUUUGACGGUUGUACCCAUGUUAUCACCCCAUUGAGGAUGCUACUUUUGGGGUUGUUGACGAUUUUGCCCCCGGGUUUGGUGUAUGGCUUCUGCUGUGUUUGCUUUACAUUGUUGGCGUGUUGCUGCAUUGGGGCUUUGAGUGUUUUGCACCUGACUGCCCUGCUUAUUGACUGAAAUGGUUCGUUCCUCUGUUUACCUGUAUGAGCCUUGUUUGCUUAUGUUGUAGUAUUGAUUUCUGGUUGUUCAUUUUUUGUUAUUUUGUAUUUUUCAUGCUUUCGUGGUGUGUUGUUGUCAAGGUUUAAGGCUUAGUUUUUCCUGUUGUUGGCUUUGUUAAUUUUUGGGUUUGCUUGGAGUCCUUGUAUUGGUUGUUGAAGCUGCUCAAAUUAGUUGAGAGAGGGGUUGCUAAAGAGUUUGCUGGAGAUUAAUAUUGAGAAUACAGCUGUCCAGUGGUCGGGUCUACUUUAUUGGCAAUUAACCUUUUAUGCAUGUUUGGAGCUUCUAUAAUUUUUUCAAUCUAAAGGAGAGCCUGGCAUUCAUGUUUGAAGUGCCUCAUCUUAAUGAGGAAUCACGGAAGAAUAUGAUGAACUCGCUUUGUUAUAUGGAAACAGUCAACAAGGCAGGAAAACAAAAGGAGUUUAGAGGAAUAGACCAUGGAGAUGAUCAAGCUGUAAUCCUAAACCUUAACAAUAAACUGUCGCAAUUUCUUGAUGAUGAUUCCACAUGGAGUUUGAAUUUGGACAAUACCUUUUUUCAUGUCAAGCUGAUGUUAUUCAGAUAGUCUUUGUUGUGUUACAUUGUUAGAAACUUAAUAUGGAUUUGUUGAAUUUUUAUUUUCUUUUUACAUCUAUUAUGCAAGCUAAAACGUCCAUUUAAGGUUGCAUAAAAGGGCUUUUCGUUUGUUGUUAGCUUCUUGAAAAGCAUUGACCCUACAUGAGGUAGGCAUUCAAUUCAUUUCUUAAAUUUUUAGCUAAUUUGUUAUUUCUUAUUAGUUGCUUAUGGUUAUUCUCUAGAGUGUUUUGCUCUUUUGUAAGAUGGAAGUUCAUCCCUGGAAUCAAUUGGCAAUGAGAUUGAGAAGGCAACAUCAAGCAUUUCUGAUCUUGGGCAAUUGAUGGAGGUCAGCUAGUUUGUUGGUUUUCUAGUGAUAAUAUAUGUGUUGCAAAUUUUGUUUAGUAAGAUAAGGCUGUAUAUAAAUAAGGUAGGAGACAUUAUUUUUCAUAGGUAAAAGUAUUAGAUUUUUGUUUUGGAAUAUAUAAAUGUAUUGGAUUUGAA